rnacentral:rRNA from 1 species
CCUACGGGAGGCAGCAGUAGGGAAUCUUCCACAAUGGGCGAAAGCCUGAUGGAGCAACGCCGCGUGGGUGAAGAAGGUCUUCGGAUCGUAAAACCCUGUUGUUAGAGAAGAAAGUGCGUGAGAGUAACUGUUCACGUUUCGACGGUAUCUAACCAGAACGCCACGGCUAACUACGUGCCAGCAGCCGCGGUAAUACGUAGGUAGCAAGCGUUAUCCGGAUUUAUUGGGCGUAAAGGGAACGCAGGCGGUCUUUUAAGUCUGAUGUGAAAGCCUGCGGCUUAACCGGAGUAGUGCAUUUGAAACUGGGAGACUUGAGUGCAGAUGAGGAAAGUGGAAGU